UACGAAGGUCCCAAGCGUUGUUCGGAAUCACUGGGCGUAAAGGGAGCGUAGGCGGCGCGGUAAGUCGGAUGUGAAAUCCCGGGGCUCAACCCCGGAACUGCAUCUGAUACUGCCGUGCUAGAGUAAUGGAGGGGUAGCUGGAAUUCUCGGUGUAGCAGUGAAAUGCGUAGAUAUCGAGAGGAACACUCGUGGCGAAAGCGAGCUACUGGACAUUUACUGACGCUGAGGCUCGAAGGCUAGGGGAGCGAAAGGG
rnacentral:rRNA from 1 species